CACUCAAUCAAGAUUCAGAACAUCAUAACAAAUCAACAUAACUAAUGGAAUCCCAUAUAAAAAACUCAAAAGGGCUUCCAAAAAUCAAACUAAAAAGGAAAAUUACAGACCACAGCAUUGUUGUAUAUCUAAUUUUUACAUGAGAAAGCUUAUCUAAAACUCGAAGUUUAAUCCCUAACGUACUUAUCCAAAAAUUUAAAAGCACAAAAAAAUUGUGUGAGUUUCUGUCAAACUCGUUUAUGAAUAGUCGUGCUUGGGCUCUUCAUCUGAUAUAAGAAAAAUAAGGAAAUGAAAUGCUCAUUUGUAAAGGACAAAAUUGCACGACCAGAUGAAUACUGGAAGAAUUAUUUUACUGUGAACUUGAUGAUUUCAAUUGCUCAAUCUUGUACAUAUAUAUACAAUGAAUAAGAAGGAUCUAGAAUACUAUACAAGUUGGCUGAAAGUACGUGCUAUGCAACAAAAUAACAGAAUGGAGAAAAUGCUAUGCAAUAGAAAAUUGUCCUCAAUUUGACGUUUCUACCCUCCAUCAUCAUGCUCCUGAUCAUUAGCUUGAUGCAGCUGAUUAUGCAUUAUUUGUGUUCCAUAUUUCAACACCCCCUCGCAAGAUGGAGAGUGGAUGUUAACAACUCCCAUCUUGAUCAAGUGUUGAUAAAACUGAGAAGAGUUUAGUGAUUUUGUCAAAAUCUCAGCAACCUGAGAACUGCCACUAAGAUGUUUAGCUAUUAUGCUUCCUUCCUGAAUUUUGUCCCGUAUCAAAUGACAAUCCAGCUCAAUGUAUUUAGUUCUUUCAUGGAAGAUGGCGUUGCCCUCUAUGUGGAGAGCAGAUUUGUUGUCACAGAAUAGGUUAACAGCCUCUGGGUUUUUUAUUUUUAAAUCUUGAAACAAGUACCUAAGCCAAGUCAGUUCUUAGCAUACAUUUGCCAUUGCCAUAUAUUUUGCUUCUGUUGAAGACCUAGAUAUUGUGCUAUGUUUCUUUGAUUUCCAAGAUAUCAAGGAUCUUCGAAGCAUCACGCAAUAUCCUAUUACACUCUUUCGUGUGUCAGGACAGGCUCCCCAGUCUCAAUCAUUGUAAGCAUUGAGCUGUAAAUCUAAAUCAAAGGGAAAUAGCAAUCCUUGUCCUGGAGCUCUUUUUAUGUACUUCAGCACUUUAUUAGCAGCACUCAGAUGGGAAGUGCGAGGGGAAAUCAAGAAUUGGCUUAAUAAUUAUACUGAGUAUGAAAGAUUUAGUCUGGUAAUGGUUAAGUACAACACUCUCCCAACAAGUCUUCUAUACAUACUGAGAUCAAGGAGAAGUUCUCCAUCUGUCUUUGAAAUUCUAACAUUCUGAUCCAAUGGUAUCUUUGUUGGCACACAUCCUAUUAUCCCCUAUUCUGAUAAUAUGUCCAAAGCAUAAUUUCGUUGGCAAAUAUGAAUUCCUUUAAUAGACCUUGCCACUUUUAUUCCCAAAAAAUAUUUCAAUGUCCCCAAAUCUUUGAUCUUGAAUCUUCUAUCAAGUAGGGCUUUGAGAGAGCUAAUGUUGUUCAGAUCACUGCUAGCCACAAUUACGUCAUCUACAUAGACGAGAAUGGCAAUGAAAGAACUCUCAGUACCUUGUAAAUAGGCUGUAAUCAGCUUUAGAUUGUGUGAAUCCU
rnacentral:lncRNA from 1 species